rfam:Schistosoma curassoni strain Dakar, Senegal genome assembly, scaffold: SCTD_scaffold0013117
GUAAUAGUUUCGGCAGUACGUAUACUAAAAUUGGAACGAUACAGAGGAGAUUAGCAUGGCUUCUGUGCAAGGAUGAUACGCAAAAUCGCAAAGCGUUCCAUAUUUUU